CCUGGGCUCACACCAUUCUAAUGAAGUAAGCCCAAAGCAGCAAAAAAACCUAAAGAUCAAUAACAGAAGAAAAAUAAGAAGACUCUAGACACCUACUUAAUUCCACCGCGAUUUUGCCCAAUCAGAAACCAAUCCGUUCUCGUCCUGUCUCGUCAUCUUCCAUUUCUUUUUUGGGACUUUCUGGAUACUGCUGGAGCCUUUUUCCCCAAAACCUUUUGAUUUUCAUUUUCAGCCUCUUCAUCUUCAAUCCAGUUCGCUCGCCUUUUCUUUUUCCUUCAGAUUCUCUGCAUACUCAGGGACUCUUCCUAUCAGCAAGCGAUUGCUUCGGCAGCAAAAGCUGAAGCUACCUGGUUAUGAACCUCUUUGAGCGAUAGGAGAACAUUUCCUUCACUAUCCCUCGCCACAAUCCUCGCAGCCGAUUGGUUCAGAUUUCCAUCAAAUGCUGCGUCAAAGUUAAUUUUCACCAACUGAUCAGAUUGCCCAGAGAGCGCAACAAAAAAUCCUGCAUCGAGAGGGAGAGUUAUGUCCAAAAACCCAGGGCAUUCGCGAAAGAUAUGAUUCGUGGUUUCUGUCGCUCUUCCACUCCAAGAACAUGAAAUGUUGUUUAGAAGCCUUCUAUGAUGCAAGUUAACCCAUGUUGGUAGAUAAUUCCAUGAUAUUCUCCAAACUGUAAUUUUUAACUUGGUAGGUAGAUUGAGAAGCCAUAGUUCAUUGUAAAAUUUCCUACACUCGUUUUGUAAAGCGUAAGCUCUAGGAUCAGAUUCGAUGCUCUGUAAUAGUUUGUAGGCACUACGAACCGUGAAUUCUCCCGAAGACUCCCCCUCCAGGCCAGAUAGUCAUCAUGAGGCUGUUUUGUUAACGGAAUUCGAAGAAUCUUCUCUGUAAUUUCUUCUGAAAAGGAUUCCGCUCACUACAAUUUGAAAGACCGUGCCCCACUCUUCCACAACCAAAGCAAAACAUUGGUAAUUUCUCAUACUUAAAAGAAAUCCACCAUUUAUUACUAUUAUCUAUCGAGACGAAAAUACCUCUUCUAAGGGGUUUCUGCACA